rnacentral:rRNA from 1 species
CCUACGGGAGGCUGCAGUGAGGAAUAUUGGUCAAUGGGCGCGAGCCUGAACCAGCCAAGUAGCGUGAAGGAUGACGGCCCUACGGGUUGUAAACUUCUUUUAUACAGGAAUAAAGUGAGGCACGUGUGCCUUUUUGUAUGUACUUUAUGAAUAAGGAUCGGCUAACUCCGUGCCAGCAGCCGCGGUAAUACGGAGGAUCCGAGCGUUAUCCGGAUUUAUUGGGUUUAAAGGGAGCGUAGAUGGGUUGUUAAGUCAGUUGUGAAAGUUUGCGGCUCAACCGUAAAAUUGCAAUUGAUACUGGCUGUCUUGAGUGCAGUUGAGGUAGGCGGAAUUCGUGGUGUAGCGGUGAAAUGCUUAGAUAUCACGAAGAACUCCGAUUGCGAAGGCAGCUUACUAAACUGCCACUGACAUUGAUGCUCGAAAGUGUGGGUAUCAAACAGGAUUAGAUACCCUUGUAGUC